UACGAAGGGAGCUAGCGUUGUUCGGAAUCACUGGGCGUAAAGCGCACGUAGGCGGAUUUGUCAGUCAGGGGUGAAAUCCCGGGGCUCAACCUCGGAACUGCCUUUGAUACAGCAAGUCUUGAGUUCGAGAGAGGUGGGUGGAAUUCCUAGUGUAGAGGUGAAAUUCGUAGAUAUUAGGAAGAACACCGGUGGCGAAGGCGGCCCACUGGCUCGAUACUGACGCUGAGGUGCGAAAGCGUGGGGAGCAAACCGG
rnacentral:rRNA from 1 species